UGACAGCCCUAUGGGUCGUAAACCGCUUUUGUACGGGAAAAAACCUCUUUACGUGUAAAGAGCUGAUUGUACUGUAAGAAUAAGGAUCGGCUAACUCCGUGC
rnacentral:rRNA from 1 species